rnacentral:rRNA from 1 species
UACGUAGGGUGCGAGCGUUAAUCGGAAUUACUGGGCGUAAAGCGUGCGCAGGCGGUUUUGUAAGCCAGAUGUGAAAUCCCCGGGCUUAACCUGGGAACUGCAUUUGGGACUGCAAGGCUUGAGUACGGCAGAGGGGGUAGAAUUCCGUGGUGUAGCAGUGGAAAUGCGUAGAUAUCAGGAGGAAUACCGAUGGCGAAGGCAGCCCCCUGGGUCGAUACUGACGCUCAUGCACGAAAGCCGUGGGGAGCAAAACAGG